UACGAAGGGGGCUAGCGUUGCUCGGAAUCACUGGGCGUAAAGCGCACGUAGGCCGCUUUCUAAGUCAGGGGUGAAAUCCUGGAGCUCAACUCCAGAACUGCCCUUGAUACUGGAGGGCUCGAGUCCGGGAGAGGUGAGUGGAACUGCGAGUGUAGAGGUGAAAUUCGUAGAUAUUCGCAAGAACACCAGUGGCGAAGGCGGCUCACUGGCCCGGUACUGACGCUGAGGUGCGAAAGCGUGGGGAGCAAACAGG
rnacentral:rRNA from 1 species